rnacentral:tRNA from 1 species
AGAGUAUAGCUCAGUGGUAGAGUGUGUGCUUAGCAUGCAGAAGGUCCUGGGUUCAAUACCCAGUACCUCUG